CUAAUGGUACUUCCUUGUGAAUUAUUUUGCUUAGCUUGUAUCUGUUAGUUAUAUAUAAAAAAGCUGCAAUAAACUAACAUCAUUUUUUAAAGGCUCGAUUUCUCUUUAGGAGUGAUCAUCAAAAAGCAAAAAGUUGGGUUGACGGUAAUCUUAACAAAAAGUGGAAGGACCAUAGGCACAAAUUAUGGCAUGCGGCAGAAGAUCCAUUAUUGAGUAAAGAAGAGAACAUCAAAAAAUCUCCAAAUGGCAUACCUAUGGAUAAAUGGGCACUGUUUGUUAAUUAUCUAAUGGAUGAGAAAACACAGAAACUUUGCAAGAAGAAUCAACAGAAUCGACAAAAUCAAAUUCCUCAUACCGGAGGAGCUAAGAGUUUGGCUAGAAGAAGAGCUGAAAUGAUGGCUAAGAAAAAAGAUGUUGAUCGAGGCAAAAUAUGAACUGAGACUCAUAAGAGAAAAGAUGAAAGUUACGUAACUGAGGCGGCUAGAGAGAUUGGAGAGAAAAUUGAAGAAAUUCGAAGUCAAAGGUCAGAAAGUAUUGUCGAAGUUUCACCUAACGAUGCACUUGGUAUAGUACUCGAUCCCAAACACCUAGGCCAUGUUCGAAGGUUAGGCUUGGGUAUUGUUUCUACUGUGGCGUUCAAACAAACAUCUAGGAGAUUUAAGCAUGUUGAUGUGAGUUCAUCUAGCACUAGCACUCCAACUCUAAAGUGGCAGCAAGAGAAGACGAGUGUGAAAUCACAAUUAAAUGCGCUACUUAGCUUAUAUCAAAGGAACAUUAGAGAAUAUCCCUGAAGAAUUUGUUCACUUAUUUCCACUCCUCCAUAGGCAUCAAAUAUAGAAAGUGGUGCUCAUCAGUCACCAAUGGAACCAAGAACCGAUUAGAAAUUUUCGGAUGGAAACAACAAUGAUGAUGGACUAAGGAAUGAUUAGAAAUCAUUUUUAGGAUUAUUUUGUUUUGGAUAUUCUUGUUGAAUGACACUUUGAAAUUAGUAUUUUGAUGAUGUAAUUUUGGAGUUUUGAAUAACACUUCAAAACAUUAGUAUUU